GAUGAACGCUGGCGGCGUGCCUAAUACAUGCAAGUCGAGCGAACAGACGAGGAGCUUGCUCCUCUGACGUUAGCGGCGGACGGGUGAGUAACACGUGGAUAACCUGCCUAUAAGACUGGGAUAACUUCGGGAAGCCGGAGCUAAUACCGGAUAAUAUAUUGAACCGCAUGGUUCAAUAGUGAAAGACGGUUUUGCUGUCACUUAUAGAUGGAUCCGCGCCGCAUUAGCUAGUUGGUGAGGUAACGGCUUACCAAGGCAACGAUGCGUAGCCGACCUGAGAGGGUGAUCGGCCACACUGGAACUGAGACACGGUCCAGACUCCUACGGGAGGCAGCAGUAGGGAAGCUUCCGCAAUGGGCGAAAGCCUGACGGAGCAACGCCGCGUGAGUGAUGAAGGUCUUCGGAUCGUAAAACUCUGUUAUUAGGGAAGAACAAAUGUGUAAGUAACUAUGCACGUCUUGACGGUACCUAAUCAGAAAGCCACGGCUAACUACGUGCCAGCAGCCGCCGUAA
rnacentral:rRNA from 1 species